GUCUCAGUCAACAGGGCAAACCGGCAAGAAAAAAGAAAUUAAAGAAGAGCCGGACAGGUAUGUUGUCACUGCUCUAUUUCUUCCUGACGUCUCCUUACCCUAUCCCUUCCCCAAUUGGUUCUGGUUUGCCCUGCCUCCUCCUCACUCACGCCGCCAUGGCCAUGCCUCCUGCCUCCUCUCACUCACGCCGCCACCUCCCGUCCUCGGCCCGCGCUCUCACAGCUGCCUACCCUCCGGCGCCGAGCUAACCCGCCUCCCUCCAGCGCUAUAACGGCCACCCGCCCACCGGCGCACGGUUCCGGCUGCCGGCCGUCCCAUCCGCCGGCGCCGGGCCACCCCUCCAUCGGCUAGAUCUCACGGCCGCCCCUCCCUCCGGCGCUGAGCCAACCUGCCAUCGGGCGCAAGGUUCCGGCUGCAGGCCGCCCCGCCUCCGGCGUCGAGCCACAUCGCCAUUGGCCGCAGGCGGCCCCUACUUCGCCGCGUCCGUGGCAGCUUCGUUCGGGCUCCCGCCGCGCGCCUAGACUGGCUUCGCUCCUCCUCACCUCCUGCUAGGCAAUGGCGGGCGUCGUCGUUCCUCCAAAAUAGCUGCUCCCGCACGUCUUGCAGGAGGAUGGGGACACGACACCACGUGUGUCCACCCCAACCUGGACCGGCUCACCGUGGUGCAUCCCCGUGGCUCUCUCCUUCUUGCCGCGGCUGCCAUGGAUCUCCUUCUGAUUAUCGGCGUCGCCGACUCGAUUGUGUGCGGUGCGCGCGUGGUAAUCGACACAGGUGGAGAGGGGAAGAGGGAAUACCUUGAUGCCGGUGGGCGAUUGCUAGCUGCCUGGAGGAUUCGUCGCUUGAGAGAAAAAGGGAAUUCUACUACUCUGUCCGGCCCUAAAUAUUUGUCAGAACUGAUCAGGUUCAUGAGACAGCAAGGCCAAUUUGCGUGAAAGAUUACAAACAGAAAUUUCUCCAGGAAAGGAAACGACUUCUUCCACUGUUCUAUUGGUAUUACUUCCAGAAUAGCCUACUCCUGCACCCAGGACGUGUAAGUGCUAACAGGCUACUUCUGCAGUUUAUUUAUCCCCCUGGCUACUUGAUCGUUUUAUCUCUACUAAGGUUCUAUUUCUCCCUCAACGUGUUGCUCAUCAUGAUCGAUUCUGGCCAAAGAGGAUCCGUGAAAGUUCUUUUAAGAGGAACCUGGCUAGUGAAGACGGCAAGCUUGGCGACGAAGGUCUUUUUACUCGAUGGUGACUUUGGUCAGCGAGAUGAAGAAGACGGCUGACAACGACUUUGGUCAGCGAGAUGAAGAAGAUGGCUGACAGCGACUUUGGUCAGCGCGAUGAAGACGACGGCCAAUAGUGACCCUGGUUGUGGUCAGCGUGAUGAAGACGAUAGUGCCAUUUCAAAUUUUGAAAAGCUAUGUCUAAUGGCGUGUUAGUUGCGAAAUAGUAGGUGUUUGUUGUGCCAUUUAAAAUUUUGAAAAGCUACGCCUCAGGACGUGACACGGGUUGGAGUUGUUUUGUUAGUUGUGUUUUAUUUGUUCCGCGCGCAGUUUUAUUUUUCAAGAUUGUGUUGAGAUAAAUCAUCUUGGUAGGAUAAAGAAGUGUUAGUUGAGAAAUA